AGGAUGAACGCUGGCGGUAUGCUUUACACAUGCAAGUCGUACGAGAGUUUUUAACUCAAGUGGCGGACGGGUGAGUAACACGUAAGAAUUUGCCUUUAGGAGGGGGAUAACAACUGGAAACGGUUGCUAAUACCCCAUAUGCUUUCGAGUGAAAUGGAUUUUCCGCCUAAAGAAAAGCUUGCGGCUGAUUAGCUUGUUGGUGAGGUAAUGGCUCACCAAGGCGACGAUCAGUAUCUGGUUUGAGAGGAUGAUCAGACACACUGGAACUGAGACACGGUCCAGACUCCUACGGGAGGCAGCAGUGGGGAAUUUCCGCAAUGGGCGAAAGCCUGACGGAGCAAUACCGCGUGAGGGAUGACGGCCUAUGGGUUGUAAACCUCUUUUUUCGAGGAGGAAUAAAUGACGUGUACCUGAAGAAUAAGCAUCGGCUAACUCCGUGCCAGCAGCCGC
rnacentral:rRNA from 1 species